rnacentral:lncRNA from 1 species
AGACGGGAGGCCUGGGCUUGGGCAGCGGUGGCGGUGUCCUGGCCCCGACGGUGACGGAGGGCUUUGAUGAGGCCCGGCGGCCGCGUGCUUGCCAGGAAGGCCCGGGGCUUGAGGCCCUGGAAGGCCUGGCCCGUUCAGGAGUCCCGGCUGUUUGGGGGAAUGUCCCACGCCCUGUGGGGAUUUGAGCCGUGACUCCCGGCCGACUUGGGUGUCCCGGUUGGUGUGUGGUCGGGCCUGGGACGGGCUUGGUGCGGGCGGGAACCGCCGGGUAGCGACCACGUCUCGUCAGGGGGUUCGUGCCUGCUGCUGGGCACGGGAACGGCUCCGGGGGGGUCUUACGGGCGCUGAGGGGAUUCCGCAUCAUGGAGAGGUCAAGGGGAGUUGGUGGCCGUCACCCUUCGUCAGGGCAGGGUAGCAUCAGUGCUCCCGUGCUGGGGUUCCUGGAGAGCCGGCUGGCACGGACAGACUCUUGUGAGGGCAAGUGGCUGAUCGUGCGUCGGAUGGGUCCAGCAAAGGAGAGAAAGCUUCGGCGCGCGCGCGCUCGCCAGGGAAAGGGUGACAGCGGGUGGGACCGAGAGGGAGAGAGAGAGAGGGAGAGAACAAAGGAAGAGAGAGGGUUUCCGCAGGGGCGGUGAGUCCUGGCGGAAGUCCUGAGGCAGAGGAGGUGCCAGGGGUUUGGGUUUCCCGGUCGUGUCGGGGGUGUGGCGCAGGUUGCCCCAGUGGGCCUGAAUGUGCCUCCGUGGGGCACCUUGUUGCCGUGUUGGGGGGCGGGGAGCCGGCCUUGGGGAUCCAUCUUUCGGGCCCUGGGACGUGGGAGAAGAAUGCCGGGGCCUCUCUCUGUGCCCCUGGCACGCCUCUGUGCAGGCCGGGCCUGCACCCCCCCCCGCGCCCGUCCCCCAGGCAGGGUCCGUGUGGCUGCAGACACCCAGAGAGAGGGGAGGCUGGGGAGGCUGGGGAGCCGUGGCAGCCCGAUGCAGUGCGGGUCUCCAGGUGGAGGGGCCCUGGUCCCCUGGCGCCAGCGUGGCCCUUCCUCCUUGUGGAAACCCUUGUGGUGUGUGUGCUCUCUCGCCCUGACCCAGGAGAGCAGCAUGGCGGACCCCUGAUCUUGUGGCGUGCCACCGCGCGAGGCCGAGGAGCUCCCGCAGACCAGUGGGCGUGGCGUCCUUGUCGCGGCUCUGUGGAGACCUGGCGAUGGAGAGCAGCAUGGCGGACCCCUGAUCUUGUGGCGUGCCACCGCGCGAGGCCGAGGAGCUCCCGCAGACCAGUGGGCGUGGCGUCCUUGUCGCGGCUCUGUGGAGACCUGGCGAUGGAGAGCAGCAUGGCGGACCCCUGA